rnacentral:rRNA from 1 species
UACCAGCACCCCGAGUGGUCGGGACGAUUACUGGGCGUAAAGGGCGCGUAGGCGGUUCGCUAAGUUGGAUGUGAAAACUCUGGGCUCAACCCAGAGCCUGCAUCCAAAACUGGCGGGCUAGAGUUCUGGAGGGGGUAGCGGAAUUCCUGGUGUAGCGGUGAAAUGCGUAGAUAUCAGGAGGAACACCGGUGGCGAAGGCGGCUACCUGGACAGAAACUGACGCUGAGGCGCGAAAGCUAGGGGAGCAAACAGG